rnacentral:rRNA from 1 species
CGGGACGGGUGAGUAAUGUCUGGGAAACUGCCUGAUGGAGGGGGAUAACUACUGGAAACGGUAGCUAAUACCGCAUAACGUCGCAAGACCAAAGAGGGGGACCUUCGGGCCUCUUGCCAUCGGAUGUGCCCAGAUGGGAUUAGCUAGUAGGUGGGGUAAGGCUCACCUAGGCGACGAUCCCUAGCUGGUCUGAGAGGAUGACCAGCCACACUGGAACUGAGACACGGUCCAG